GUAAACUAAAUCGAAAUCCUCUACCACCAUCUCCAUCUCUACCACCACCAUUUUUGUCGCCACCAUAACUAUCAGCACUAUCUCCAAUCAACAAUAAACGUAAUCUGAAAAUAUAUAUUAGGUUUAGCUUGACCUUUACAUCAUAAUGAAAGAUCUCCGUUUGAUUCUGGGAGAGAGACCUUCGUCAAAAAUGAUAUCCAGAUUUAGAAGUCAAGCUUCAUAAGUAUCAGGUUCAUCAUCUUAUUCUCCUUCUUUUCUACUAGUUUUUAUAGUGAUUUCAAUUUUAAUGGAAGAUUCAAGAGAUCGAGAGAAAGAGAAAUAUUAGGUUUCAAAUUUUCUGGUAAUUAUCGAGGGUGAAUUUGUUGCAUUUUUUAUUCAGCUUGAAUUUUCUGAUAUUCACAGAGAUCGAGAGAUUUGAUUAUAUGAAAUGUUAGAGAUUCGAAGUUGAAGAUUUCAGAUAACUUUCCAGUUGAUGGUGUAUGUUAUUGAUGCUAACAACAUUUUCGUUCUGUUUUGCUUUUCUAUCCUUACUGUAUUCAUAUUGCGGCUAUGCUAUUCUUCAUUUAUUUAAAAGGUGAUCUUGGAUAAAUAGCAAUGAGUGGUAAUGAAUGUGGGAGUAUUAUAGUUGGUGGGUAGUGGUGGAUGGUAGCAGAGAACGUGUGGUGGAGUUUGGGGAUGAUGGCUGUGAGGCCUCUCAAGUUAUUGGUUAUGUUACGUGGUUAGCUCAAACUUCAGUGAUUCUAAUUGAAGUGUACACUAACAAAGCAAAUAAUUGACCAGGAUAUGCUGAUUAUCUUCAUUUCAUUUAUUAGAGCUAAUAUUGUUCCAAAUUCAUUUUACAGGUAUGCAAUAGCUACUCAUUUUCGUUUUCCGGGUUGCUUUUGUUGGUGCUCCUGUUUUUGAUCAUUGGAACUACAGAGUUUCCCUCCAAGCCGAAUAUGUGGUGCAAUGGUAACACACCUGACUCCGUGUCAGAAGAUGCAUGUUCGAUUCACGUCAGGUUCACUAAUUUUAGUACGUCAAUUUUUGGGAUCAACUUUGGUUGUUGACGCCAUGUUUGGGAUCAAUUUUGGUUGUUGACGCUAUAUAUAAUCUGAACAUUUUAUGAUUUUUAAGUUUGGGAUCAACUUUGGUUGUUGAUACCAGAUUUUGGGAACUUUGGUUGUUGACACCAUAUGUAAUGUGAACAUUUUCUGAAAUUUUAAUUUUUGGGGUCAAAUCUGAACAUUUUCUUAAAUUUUAAUUUUUGGGGUUAACUUGGGGUGUUAACACCAUAUUUUUUCUCUUUCUUAUUUUUGUUUUGGGAUCAACUUUGAUUGUGUCUGAUUUUUGUUUAUGGGGAUCAACAACAGAUUGUUGACACCAUAUUUUUUUCUUCAAAUUUUUUGAUUUUUGUAUUUUGGAUCAACUUCGGUUGUUGAUACCUUGGUUGGUGAUACCAAGGUAGGUGGUGGUGGUGGCGGACUAGCGACGCCGGUGCCGGCAGUGAUGGUGCUUCUAGUGGUGGUGGUGGACUGGUGACGGCGGUUGUGGACUGGUGGCGGCGGUUGUGGACUGGUGGUAGACUGGUGGUGGAAUGAGAUUUUUUUUAAAAAAAUGUACAAAUAUGUUUGUGUGAUAAAAUAGGAAAAAAAAUUAUAUCUUAUGGAGCACUAAUGUAAUCCAUCUUUAAGUAGAUAAGGUGAUGGGUUUAUUUAUUAUGUG